AGUGAACGCUGGCGGUAGGCCUAACACAUGCAAGUCGAACGGCAGCACAGUAAGAGCUUGCUCUUACGGGUGGCGAGUGGCGGACGGGUGAGGAAUACAUCGGAAUCUACUUUUUCGUGGGGGAUAACGUAGGGAAACUUACGCUAAUACCGCAUACGACCUACGGGUGAAAGCAGGGGAUAUUCGGACCUUGCGCGAUUGAAUGAGCCGAUGUCGGAUUAGCUAGUUGGCGGGGUAAAGGCCCACCAAGGCGACGAUCCGUAGCUGGUCUGAGAGGAUGAUCCGCCACACUGGAACUGAGACACGGUCCAGACUCCUACGGGAGGCAGCAGUGGGGAAUAUUGGACAAUGGGCGCAAGCCUGAUCCAGCCAUACCGCGUGGGUGAAGAAGGCCUUCGGGUUGUAAAGCCCUUUUGUUGGGAAAGAAAAGCAGCAGGUUAAUACCCCGCUGUUCUGACGGUACCCAAAGAAUAAGCACCGGCUAACUUCGUG
rnacentral:rRNA from 1 species